GAGGAGCAAAAUGUUUACUGCUGCACCCAGUGAUAGCUUUUAGAGUGUGGGCAAAUGACUGGAGCAGAACUGAAUGGGCUUUGAUUGCUCUCCUCUCUUCACUAUCUCUGAGGUCGCAGCUCAGGAGACCGAGGAGUCAUUACUGCAAAAUGCCUAUAAUAAACAGAUGGUCAGGCCAUGAUGACUGCGCGCUUGGUAGAGAAAUGUAACCAAAGAGCAUCAUCCGUUUUAUUUAUUGGCUGACGAUGUAAAUGUUUUUCAUGGCAGACAGAGUGUGGCAGUGCUGGGAGCUUCUGAACUCACAACUUGAACAUUAAAUCAUUUAUCUGAGUGCUUUGUUUUGUCCUAUUACACAAUCAAAGCAUGCAUGCUAGAUUUAACUUACAAUGUUGGUCCCACUGCAUUUUUUGAGUAAUGAGGAUGUGUAGGCCUUUUUGAACAUUACCCGUGUAAGAUGGAAUCGACACCAAGUGCUUUGUGCAAUACCUCCACAUAGAGCAUAGUGUCCACAAACUUGAUUUUCUUCAUGUUGAUUAAAUUAUGGAGAAAAAAAAGAGCUACCUGUGGGACACACUUGAGCACUGGAAAAACUGGUCCACAGUCGCACGGCUUAACGUUAACUCGUGUUUCUCUGUUUUUGCAAAACUGGUCAUGCAAUGCAAAAGAGACACACGUCAUCUUAUUGCUUGUCAGGGUUCAGGGUUUAAGACAAAAUCUUUUUACUGAGUAGAACUAUCCCGGACUUCAGCUAAGAUCUCUAUCUUUUCUUGCCUUCUAUGAAAAUUCACUCACAGUGGAAACUAAGCUGCCAAAGUUAGUAAUUCCUCACUUUCAUCAAAAAUAGCUAGCAAAAGCACUGAAUCUCCUUUUUUUGUCAUCUUUCCGAAGCCCCUUGUUGGAGCCUUCUUGUCAAAUUUGUCUUGCUUUUGCUUUGUACCAAUCAGGCACACUGCCAGAACCUUACUUCCAUGUUUCCUAAACUAAGUGAGGUGUCACUAUGCUUUUAAUAUGGGCCAUGGAUGCCUUGCCUUAUAGUAGGCUACCUUGUUGAAAGAAGCCGUGUGCUAGUGAGGCUUUAAAUCCCACAGAAUCAGGAAAAGGUUCAUUACAAAGUAAUUUUAUAUUUUAAAGUACACAGUCUGUUUUGUUUUGUUUUGUUUUGUUUUGUUUUGUUUUGUUUUCAGUUUGAAAAAUACAAAAACAAAAACUGAGAAAAUUUUGAAGAUUAGUUUACUCCUUCAUAAAAACACACAUAAACAACACAAAAUAUAGAUACUGAGCUAGCCCCACCCAGUGGGCAUUAUCCUUUACAUAAGCUUGGAAAAUAAACUAAUUUAUUCACAUUUAAACAACUUUUACCAUUUGUAACCUUCAGACCUUUUUCUGUAAGUUUUUGUCAUUUUGACUAAGUUUUUACAAAAAUCAAUGGAGCAUUAUUUUUUAGGAAUUCAUGGCAAGCAUCAAGGGAAUUAAUUUUUCUUGCAUCAUGUGACCACUUUGACCCACCAUACCCACCUAUUUUACACAUGGAAAUCACGCACUCUGUUUCCUCAUUUGGAAACUGAUAGAGCUCUAAGUGUGCAACCUUGGUUACCCUAUCCAACAGAGAAGGGAGAAGGAAAAGUAACGCUGUUAAGUGGGUAAAUAGCAACGCUGGAAGGGAGGGAAAUGUUUGAUGUGUAUGUCUACUGUAUGUAGGUGUGUGUAUUUGUGUGGGGGGCUCAUAGACUGUAUAUACUAUGGACAACUUGGUUUCACCUUGCUAGCCGAAAAGCUCUUGGUAAUGAUAUUGCACAGUCCCAUUGUGCGUGUUAGGCAGCAGAGUCCCCGAGAGUCACUGUGAUGAAGCACGGCUCAAACAGCGUAUCCCCCAGUGGCGAAUUAGGGGGGUUAGGGUUAGGGUUGAGUUAGGGUUGGGGCUAGGGUUAGGGUUAGGGUUGAGUUAGGGUUAGGGUUGACGGUUCAAGCUCGAGUUAGGGUUGGGGAUAGGGUUAGGGUUAGGGUUGCGGCUAGGGUUAGGGUUGCGGCUACGGUUAGGGUUGGGGCUAUGGUUACGGUUAGGGAUACGGUUGGGGUUGAGACUAGGGUUUGGGCUAUGGUUAGGGUUAGGACUAGGGCUAGGGUUAGGGUUGCGUUGGGGUAAAGGGUUGAAGGUUCAAGCUAGUGUUAUGGUUGGGGAUAGGGUUAAGGUUAGGGCAAUGGCUGAGAUAGGGUUAGGGGUACGGUUAGGGUUAGGAUUGGGACUAAGGUUAGGGUUAGGGUUAGGGUUGGAGCUAGGGUUAGGGUUAGGGUUAGGGUUGGAGCUAGGGUUAGGGUUAGGGGUGGAGCUAAGGUUAGGAUUAGGGUUGGAGUUAGGGUUGGAGCUAGGGUUAGGUGAAGGGACUCUGUCCCGUCUCCCAUAAGGAGCGGGGAAUGCGCUGGCCUUCCCCCAUCCGUACCCGUCCCUACGAUCCCAAGACUGCUGGCGGAAACGUCGAGCCCUCCGGCCGUAUCUGACUUCCGUCCAGCCCUGAUUGUAGCCACUCAUGUUGGAGUGGCUAUUGAAAUGUUUUUAUUUAUUUUAAAUAUUGAUUUGUUUAAAGAAAUAAAAGACUGAUUUUUACCUAUAAAAGGAAACCUAUCUGUGUAAACAAAGGAAACUUAACUUUCAAAAUUUAAACUUUUCUUAAAAUAAAAUGCUGAUUGUUUUAAUCAAAAUGUAAAAAUAAAAUGAAUUUCAAACUGUUUUUAAAUAUUUUUAAAUGUUUUUAGAUGUUUUUAAAGUUUUUAUCAAGUUUUUUAAUUUUUUAAUUUUUUUGUUAUUUUUUUAACUUUUUUUAAAAAAACUAUGUACAAAUGAAAUUUGUGUGCCCACGACGACGUUUCGACCCGUUGUGGGUCUUCUUCAGGUCUGGCACACCUCACUAAACAAAAAAAACUCUCUCUGAAAUGAAAAACAAAAGAUGCUGGCUGGUAAUUAUAAAGAUGUUCUCUCUUCAAGCUUCUGAGUGGAAAUGAUUAAGCCCAACCCACUGCUCCCUUUUAUAGUCUCUGGCAAAUAAAUACAAUGAAUUUUGUUAUUUUAUUAUCAUGUGCCCUUUUAAAUUUUAAAUUUUAAGCCCUUAACUAUGAAUUACUUUUAACACUUUACUAUACAAUAAUGAUCUGUAUCCCAUGUAUUUAUUAAAAUGUAUUUAUUUAUGUAUUAUUUAUUAAUUAAUUAUUUAUUUAAAAUUAAUAUAUUUAAUUUUUAACUGUCCUAGGAUUAGGGUUAGGGUUAGGGCUAGGGUUAGGGUUAGGGCUAGGGCUAGGGUUAGGGUUAGGGUUAGGGUUAGGGCUAGGGUUAGGGUUAGGGCUAGGGUUAGGGUUAGGGUUAGGGUUAGGGCCAGGACUAGGGUUAGGGUUAGGGUUAGGGUUAGGGUUAGAGUUAAGGUUAGGGCCAGAGCUAGGGUUAGGGUUAGGGUUAGGGCUAGGGUUAGGGUUAGGUUUAGGAUAUAGGGGUAUGUGCCACUUUUGACAUGCCGGUUCAUUGCCUUUCCCAUUGAUGAACCGGGCUGAGAUUUGGUCUACCCCCCCAUUUUCGGGUAUGCUGAAUCUAGAAAUAGUAAUGAACCAGCGAUCGGACAUUCCUAUCAAAAGUUAUGGCGAAGUGAAAAUUUCCCAUUGAAAAUGAAUGGGAGCGGAAAAAUGGCCAAAGUCAGUGUUUGCAAGUGUUGUACUUGUCUGGAAAUGUUGAAAAUGCAUUGUGAGCACGUUUCAGGCCAUUUCCUGUCAUUUGAGGGCGACUUUGCAAAAAGGGGUGUCAUACCGCAUUUGACCAGAGGUGGCGCUGAAACCAGUUCGAGGGUUAGGGUUAGGGUGAGACUUAGGGCUAGGGGUUAGGGUUAGGGCUGGAGCUAUGGUUAGGGUUAGGGUUAGGGUUAAGGUUGGAACUAGGGUUAGGGUUAAGGUUAGGGUUGGAAAAAUCUUCCACCCCCAACAUGCAAGUUUCAGCGCUCUACGACCUACAAAAUGCAUAUAGCUAUCCCUAACCCUAACCCUAACUCCAACCCUAACCCUAACCCUAGCUCCAACCCUAACCCUAACCCUAACCCUAGCUGCAACCCUAACUCCAACCCUAACCCUAACCCUAACCCUAGCUCCAACCCUAACCCUAACCCUAGCUCCAACCCUAACUCCAACCCUAACCCUAACCCUAACCCUCGCUCCAACCCUAACCCUGACCCUAACCCUAGCUGCAACCCUAACUCCAACCCUAACCCGAACCCUAACCCUAGCUCCAACCCUAACCCCAACCCUAGCUCCAACCCUAACUCCAACCCUAACCCUAACCCUAACCCUAACCCUAGCGCCAACCCUAACUCCAACCCUAACCCAAACCCUAACCCUAGCUCCAACCCAAACCCUAACCCUAGCUCCAACCCUAACUCCAACCCUAACCCUAACGCUAACUCCAACCCUUACCCUAACCCUAACUCCAACACUAACCCUAACCCCAACCCUUGCUCCAACCCUAACCCUAACCCUAAACAUAGCUCCAACCCUAACCCUAACCCUAGCUCAAACCCUAACUCCAACCCUAGCUCCAACCCUAACUCCAACCCUAACCCUAACCCUAACCCUAGCUCCAACCCUAACCCUAACCCUAACCCUAGAUGCAACCCUAACUCUAACCCUAUCCCUAACACUAACCCUAUCUCCUACCCUAACCCUAACCCUAACUCCAACCCUAACCCUAACCCUAGCUGCAACCCUAACUCCAACCCUAACCCUUACCCUAACCCUAGCUCCAACCCUAACCCUAACCCUAACUCCAACCCUAACCCUAACCCUAACCCUAGCUCCAACCCUAACCCUAACCCUAGCUCAACCCUAACCCUAACCCUAACCCUAGCUGCAACCCUAACCCUAACCCUAACCCUAGCUCCAACCCAAACCCAAACCCUAACCCUAACCCUAGCUGCAACCCUAACUCCAACCUUAACCCUAACCCUAACCCUAGCUCCAACCCUAACCCUAACCCUAACCCUAGCUCCCACCCUAACUCCAACCCUAACCCUAACCCUAACCCUAGCUCCAACCCUAUCCCUAACCCUAACCCUUGCUCCAACCCUAACCCUAACCCUAACCCUAGCUGCAACCCUAACUCCAACUCUAACCCUAACCCUAACUCCAACCCUAACCCUAACCCUUACCCUAGCUCCAACCCUAACUCCAACCCUAACCCUAACUCCAACCCUAACCCUAACCCUAACCCUAACUCCAACCCUAACCCUAACCCUAACUCCAACCCUAACCCUAACCCUAACCCUAGCUCCAACCCUAACCCUAACCCUAACCCUAGCUGCAACCCUAACUCCAACCCUAACCCUAACCCUAACCCUAGCUCCAACCCUAACCCUAACUCCAACCCUAACCCUAACUCCAACCCUAACCCUAACCCUAGCUCCAACCCUAACCCUAACCCUAACCCUAGCUGCAACCCUAACCCCCACACUAACCCUAACCCUAGCUCCAACCCUAACCCUAACCCUAGCUCCAACCCUGACUCCAACCCUAACCCUAAUCCUAACCCUGGCUCCAACCCUAACCCUAGCUCCAACCCUAACUCCAACCCUAACCCUAACCCUAACCCUAACCCUAGCUCCAACCCUAACCCUAACCCUAACCCUAGCUCCAACCCUAACUCCAACUCCAACCCUAACCCUAACCCUAACCCUAUCUCCAACCCUGACCCUAACCCUAACCCUGGCUCCAAUCCUAACCCUAACCCUAGCUGCAACCCUAAC
rnacentral:lncRNA from 1 species